rnacentral:ncRNA from 12 species
UUGAAGCGGGUCUGUGGUUGCAAGCCGAUGCCAGUCGCAGGCAAAACGGUCCACGUAAUCCAUCCAAAGCGGUGGGGAGCAUGGUGCGGCUUAGAAGUAAGCCCGGCCGCGUUAAAAGCGCGAGAGAACGGCGUGGGGGCAGAGAAUGCUAUGAGCAAAGUUCCCGCCGGCGAGUGUGGGGUCAAAGACCAGGUCAGCCGAUCUUCAA